rnacentral:rRNA from 1 species
UUGAACGCUGGCGGCAUGCUUUACACCUGCCCGUCGCACGGCAGCACGGGCUUCGGCCUGGUGGCGAGUGGCGAACGGGUGAGUAAUAUAUCGGAACGUACCCAGAAGUGGGGGAUAACGUAGCGAAAGUUACGCUAAUACCGCAUACGAUCUAUGGAUGAAAGCAGGGGACCGCAAGGCCUUGUGCUCCUGGAGCGGCCGAUAUCUGAUUAGCUAGUUGGUGAGGUAAAGGCUCACCAAGGCGACGAUCAGUAGCUGGUCUGAGAGGACGACCAGCCACACUGGAACUGAGACACGGUCCAGACUCCUACGGGAGGCAGCAGUGGGGAAUUUUGGACAAUGGGCGCAAGCCUGAUCCAGCAAUGCCGCGUGAGUGAAGAAGGCCUUCGGGUUGUAAAGCUCUUUUGUCAGGGAAGAAACGGUAGAGGCUAAUAUCCUUUGCUAAUGACGGUACCUGAAGAAUAAGCACCGGCUAACUACGUG